rnacentral:rRNA from 1 species
AUGACCACUGUUCGUACACUUCUUGCCGUUGCCUCUGCACGCCACUGGUCUAUAUCUCAGCUUGAUGUUAAGAAUGCCUUUCUUAAUGGUGAGCUGCGUGAGGAGGUGUACAUGCAGCCACCACCUGGGUAUUCUCUUCCUGAUGGCAUGGUAUGUCGUCUUCGUCGCUCUCUCUAUGGCCUUAAGCAAGCCCCUCGCGCCUGGUUUGAGCGUUUUGCCUCUGUGGUCACUACUGCUGGUUUUUCAGCAAGUGCUCAUGAUCCAGCAUUGUUUAUUCACCUUUCUCCUCGUGGUCGGACUCUUCUUCUCUAUGUUGAUGACAUGAUCAUCACUAGGGAUGACCCCGAGUAUAUUGCCUUUGUAAAGGCCCGUCUUAGUGAGCAGUUUCUUAUGUCUGAUCUUGGACCUCUUCGCUACUUUCUUGGGAUUGAAGUCUCUUCUACCUCUGAUGGCUUUUUUAUAUCCCAGGAAAAGUAUAUCCAGGAUCUUCUUACUCAUGCUGCUCUUACUGACGAGCGCAUUGUUGAGACUCCUAUGGAGCUCAAUGUUCACCUCCGUGCUACUGAUGGUGAUCCUCUCCCUGACCCGACGCGUUAUCGUCAUCUCGUUGGCAGUCUUGUCUAUCUAGCUGUCACUCGUCCGGACAUCUCUUAUCCGGUUCAUAUUCUGAGUUAG